UCGUUGAUUACGUCCCUGCCCUUUGUACACACCGCCCGUCGCUACUACCGAUUGAAUGGCUCAGUGAGGCCUUGAGACUGGCUCAGAGAGGUCGGCAACGACCACUCAGAGC
rnacentral:rRNA from 1 species